GCAGGGUUCAUGGCAGGGUCCAUUACUGAAGGGGUAUAUUAAAGCUUUCUUUUGGGGGGUGGGCAGCAUCUGCGGAACUUAUUACUUGAAGAAGGGAUAUGUUCAGGGGUUGCAACCCGCCAAUUGGGAAACACUCUUCUAGUGCUAUGUAUUGCUGUGCAGUAGAUCCAAGUUCAAAUCUCAUUUUUGGCCCUUCACUUUCUGAAUGGCAGAGCUGAAACUACUUAGCCCUGAAGAAGCCCGUUAUGGACCAGGACCAUCGCGCUAGGUGCUGUAUCAACAAAGAGCACAAAGAUAGUCCCUGCUCCAAGGAGCUUAGAGCGCAAGUAUACAACAAGAAAUGACAGGUGGAUACAGACAGGUGGGGAGUAGAAAACAAUGAGACAAUACUGGUCAGCAUGAUAGACAGUGGUCUCAGCACAACAGCAGU